rnacentral:rRNA from 1 species
UACAGAGGGUGCGAACGUUGCUCGGAAUUACUGGGCGUAAGGCGCGUGUAGGCGGGACGAUAAGUCGGAAGUGAAAUCCCUGGGCUCAACCCAGGAACUGCUUUCGAAACUGCCGUCCUCGAGUACCGGAGAGGGUGGCGGAAUUCCUGGUGUAGAGGUGAAAUUCGUAGAUAUCAGGAGGAACACCGGUGGCGAAGGCGGCCACCUGGACGGUCACUGACGCUGAGACGCGAAAGCCAGGGGAGCGAACGGG